ensembl:snoRNA
GACCUUUUUUUACACCUGUCAGCUGUGGUAGUCUUCCUUCCCAGCCAUGGAAGAGCACAGUCUUGUGUAUUGGCAAAGCCGUCACCGUUUACUGGGGGUCAGAUCCUGACUUGCGCAGGUAACCUCU